CGAAGAAGGUAGCAGUUCGCUUAGUGAGGCGGAAGAUGCGGCUGGAAACACAGCAGCGCAAGCCGCUCCUGAAGG
rnacentral:SRP_RNA from 1 species